GCAGGUGUUACCUUCUCAACAAAGGGCAGAAUAGAAAAAACGAUGCUAGAUAGCUAUUUGGAAAUGCAAGGCACGUCAGAUGAAGGAGAAGGGAUUGAGGACAUGUAGAUAUGAUGUUUCUUAAGUUUCAUAAUGAAGGAGAAGGGCUCCCCGAUGCAAGGUUCAUUGUGAGGAUGUGAUGCUUAACAAAUGAUAUCCGUAUUUAGGUCUGAAACUUUUGUCUACAACUACAACAUUGGCACACGUGGCGGCUGCAGGACCUCCCGGCCGCUGGAGGUGGAUGGACAUGGCAGCGGUGGCCGCAGCAAGCGCCAGCUGACGGCGGCGGCUGGACACGGCAGCGGUGGCUGCAGGGUCUCCUAUGUGCGACCUCACCAGGUCGUUGUUGCGGAUCCCCUCUCCCCCUUGACCUUAACACUGAUGGCUGGAUGAGGCAUAGAAGAGCGGGAGGGGAGCACCUAGGCAGAAGGAGGAAGGGUGGCUGAGCGGAGCAGUGCUUGUUGAGGUGAUUGUUGCUGCAUAUUAGUUGCCUAUGUGGUCUCUAUUGAGUUUUGCAGUAGCAUACUGUCGGAUUUCUGAAAAGUCAUGCCUGCGAUAUUAUUUGUUUUUCCUAGAGUCAAUCACCACUGAUGCAGCCAGGGUUUCAAAUGUCAAGUGGUUUUGUGACUACUAUGUUCUUGUUAUGGAUGUGCUCUCUUGCAACAGAAAAUUGUGGAUCAGAACUGUUAUGAUGCUUCCUAAUCAAAUGGUAUGCUGAAGAACUGUUAUGAUGCAUGCGGAAGUAUGCCUUGAUUGCUUUUCGUGAAUCCAUUGUAUGGAUUGCAAAGUAAGUUUUACUGUCAUUUUGGUAUCAAAUGUUGAGGAUAUUUAAGGUAUUCAGCACAAAAAGAAGUUACUUCUAUGAUGUUAGACCAGGGAAAUUUAUGGUUUCUUUCAGUUUGGUCAUUGUUGCCUUGCAAAGUUCACCCUGGAUUAUGCGAAUGGAUCAUAUCAUAAGUUCAUGACAGCUGCAUUUACUUCCAAGUUCAUGCAUGCACUACUGUAUUUUUUCUCCGUUUAGCUGGAUCAUAUUUGAUGCACUUCAUUUUUAGAGUUUCAGAUUGUUUUUCGAUAUGCUUCCCUAAAUAGGAAUUAUGCUUACAAUGAUGGACUCUGUGAGCUGUUGUUAUUUAUACAGGUUAUUUACAGGGUUUUGUUUCCAGUUAAGGAAUAAGCGGUGGGUGGUAGUGUUAGUUAGGGAAUCAUGCCGCCAUUCCGAGACAUGCUACAAGACUGGCAGAAAGUGCAGGAAAAGGCAUGCACUUCUUUGUUCCAAUAAAGGUAAAAAUAUCGGUUUGCUGCAAAUGGUAAUUUCAACAGAGGGCGAGAAUGGUGAUGGCAUGCUUUUGUGUGAGGUGAGAUCUGAAUUGACUCUGACUGAUGCAAAAUUCAAGUCUGAUAAUGGAUCUACAUUAUUGUUUAGGUGCAGGGAAGUGCCACAGUUGAGAAAUCAGAGAAGAAUAUAUCA